CUGUUUCAGCCACAUCCUUUCAACGAAAUCAGCGGGGUCAUGACCAGAAAACAAGUCCUGCCAGCCUCCUACCUCAAAUCCAAUUAUAAUUUUCCUCAUGACAACCCACACAAAAGACAAAGAUAAGAAAAAGGACUCCUGGGAAGCUCUGGAUCAAUUACCAGUCAGAAGCACAUUCACAAGAUCCACAAUUUAAAGAACCAAUUUUUACAAUUUUUUUUCCUGUCAAUUGAAUUUGGGAAGGAAGGAACAAGCAAAAAUUGUUAUCUUCUUCUUUCGACAGCACACUACGGACAGAAAUCCAGGAGAGCUGACCUUGCCUUCUGCCCUCCACAUGCAGGAACUGCAGACACGGCAGAUAAGGCAGAACUGGAAUGCUUUGCUGCCAGCUGGACCUUUGACCCAAACUCCAGUGUGACUCUCUCCAAUGCUCACUCAACUGGAAUGCAUCCAUGAGGGAAAAAAUAACUGAUCAUUGGCAAAAAGCUGAGGAUGACAACCUGAGGGGAUGAAAGGCUGUCUUUUCGCCCCCUUCUGAGCUUUUCUGCUGGCUCCCAGCUGGGAGAAACCAGCACAAUGAAAGAUAAAGAAUACUGGAAAAGAGAGAGAGUGGGCAGAGCCACGACCUCAUCCUCCCAGUGGUUACUCUUGAGUCUGAUUUGACAAGAUGUCUUCUCAACCAGGUGACCCCCUGGGAACACAUCAGUAUGUCACCCCACGACCUCACUGAGUCCUCACAACAAAUCCAGGGUGUAGAUUGUUUUUCCUGUUUAGAGAUUACAAAUUGAAAUGCAGGAAGAUUAAAGAACUUGCCUGAGGUUGCUUCAGUAAUAAAAUAACCUGGAUUAGAACCCAGACCUUCCCAGCU